rnacentral:sRNA from 1 species
GGAGGAGAGAGAGAGAGAAGGAUAUCGCGAGGUGAGAGAGAGAGAGGAAGCUAGCUGGAGUAGUAGCUAGAGAGAUGGUGCUGGUGCGUGAUGAUGAUGAUGCUGUUGGUUUCUGCAGUGUGAGUCAAGAAGCCAUCAUGCUCACAGAUCGCUAGCUGCACCUGAUCUCCUCCUCCUCCUUCUUCUUCCUCCUCUUCGUCGUCGUCUUCUUUCUUUCUUUCUGCUGCUGCUGCUCCGUUGUUUUGCUGUAACGCCGCCAUGGCUAUGUGGGGAAUCAAGCGAAUUGGUCCGAAUCCGAAUCUGCCUUCUUUUCUAGGGUCUACUGCUGCUGCUGCUGAUGCUACUACCUCGCUGUUCAAGGCAAGAAGAUAGCUGCUGCUGCUACUCCUACUUGCUAGAGUAUGUAUGUCAUGUUAUGUUAUGUUAAAAAUCAUUCGUUUGAUUAUAUUAUUCUCGUGUUCUCUCGAUCUUUAUGAUGUACUAUUAUGUUAUUGCAUAAAUUUAUAUUUUGUUAUUGUUUUGUUACACUAUUCAUUUGAAGAUCUGAUACUUUGCAUGCGUGUUUGAU